rnacentral:rRNA from 1 species
AUCUGCGUUUGGAAAGAUUUUUCGGUUGGGGAUGGGCUCGCGGCCUAUCAGCUUGUUGGUGAGGUAAUGGCUCACCAAGGCGUCGACGGGUAGCCGGCCUGAGAGGGUGACCGGCCACACUGGGACUGAGACACGGCCCACACUCCUACGGGAGGCAGCAGUGGGGAAUAUUGCACAAUGGGCGGAAGCCUGAUGCAGCAACGCCGCGUGAGGGAUGACGGCCUUCGGGUUGUAAACCUCUUUUAGCAGGUAAGAAGCGAAAGUGACGGUACCUGCAGAAAAAGCGCCGGCUAACUACGUGCCAGCAGCCGCGGUAAUACGUAGGGCGCAAGCGUUAUCCGGAAUUAUUGGGCGUAAAGAGCUCGUAGGCGGUUGUGUCGCGUCUGCUGUGAAAUCCCGAGGCUCAACCUCGGGCCUGCAGUGGGUACGGGCAGACUAGAGUGCGGUAGGGGVAGAUUGGAAUUCCUGGUGUAGCGGUGGAAUGCGCAGAUAUCAGGAGGAACACCGAUGGCGAAGGCAGAUCUCUGGGCCGUAACUGACGCUGAGGAGCGAAAGGGUGGGGAGCAAACAGGCUUAGAUACCCUGGUAGUCCACCCCGGUAAAACGUUGGGAACCUAGUUGUGGGGUCCAUUCCACGGAUUCGUGACGCAGCUACGCAUUAAGUUCCCGCCCUGGGGAGUCGGCCGCAUGGCUAAAACUAAAGGAAUUGACGGGGACCCGCACAAGCGGCGGAGCAUCGGAUUAAUUCGAAUCAACGCGAAGAACCUUACCAAGGCUUGACAUAUACGAGAACGGGCCAGAAAUGGUCAACUCUUUGGACACUCGUAAACAGGUGGUGCAUGGUUGUCGUCAGCUCGUGUCGUGAGAUGUUGGGUUAAGUCCCGGCAACGAGCGCAACCCUCGUUCUAUGUUGCCAGCACGUAAUGGUGGGAACUCAUGGGAUACUGCCGGGGUCAACUCGGAGGAACGGUGGGGAUGACGUCAAAUCAUCAUGCCCCUUAUGUCUCUGGGCUUCACGCAUGCUACAAUGGCCGGUACAAAGGGCUGCAAUACCGUGAGGUGGAGGCGAAUCCCAAAAAGCCGGUCCCAGUUCGGAUUGAGGUCUGCAACUCG